rnacentral:lncRNA from 1 species
UAUAUAUUUUAGUUGUAAGAUGGACACAAUACCUCUAUUGAUUUAUUUAUGUGGUGCUUCACACAUGGUAGGCGAGAGUUCUAUCGCUGAGCACAACCCUACCCCCACUCACACACCCCCAGCCUAGUAAAUCAGAUUCAAAAGAUUUUAUUUUCCCAUUUCUGUUCAUUUUUUGAUUAUAUGAUUUAGGGUCCUAUAUUUCAGGCAACAAACUAUUUAAGGAAAAGAUAAAUUUGUUUGAAAGAUAUAUUGAUCUCAAAGCCUUCAAAUGUAUUGCUAGUUGCUCUCAGAUUUGGUGGGCAGGAACCAAGAAAGUGUCAGAGUCAAGGAGGAGAAAGUAAAGAUGUAACCAUGAUGGAUGUCAGGAGUGUCUCAGGACAGAAGCUAUGUGCACAUCUGUAAGUCCUGAGUAAAGGGGUACUGAACAGUUAUGCACCCCACAAUAGAUUGGGCUUUACCUCUGCUCAGAUAAGGAAGAUGUGACUCCAGGAGUGGGUGUCACCUGAUGGGUUAAAUUACACCCACCUGUUCCUUUGUAAUCCUACCCCUUUGCCCUUUUUGGGAUAGAAUGUUCCAUGGAACCUCCCUUUGUGAGUCUUCUAUAUAAGAAUAAAGAAUUCCAGUGGCUCUCUCUUUUUCCAUGGACCCCUAAGGUCACAGAGCCAUCCCCGGAUUUUCAAAAGGUACUUGGUAUUUCUGUGUGUUUGCAUGCUUUCUUUGCUUUUUCUUAAGUGAUUGGAAUAGAUUUUGUGAACCCAGCAUAGGUUGCUUGCUUGAAUAGAUCAAGAUAGAUGGGUUCGCUUCCUUGGUGUGUACAAAGUAAGCAACAACCAGGAGGUAAAAGUGAAGAAAGGUGUUAUUGUUUGUAGCAAGUAAAGGGAACAUGGGACAACUCUCAAGGCAGUGUGUCCUGGAACAAAGGAAGCAAGGGACUUUUACUGGGGAAACUUGUGCAUAUUCAUACUGGAAAAACUUGUCAUUGCAUGCAGAGGCAGACACAUUCUUGGGCAUGUUCAGUCUGAGAUCAUGCUUUAUACAGUGUUCCAUGCACUUUUUCUCUGGAGGGUCUUGUCUGAAACUAAUAACUUAAAAGGAUGUUAGCAGUCAGCAGUAGCUUCCUUUAUAAGCAGAUGCUUAACGCUGUAAGUUUCUGCCUGGCAGAUAACAAAGGACUGAUAGUGGGAAUAGCCUGGGAAGAAUGAUGAGUCUUUUCUGCCCUUUCUUGUGCUUUGCAAGAUAGGUUCAAGGUUCAUAGUCAUCGGAGAGAGUUACCAGUUUACCAAGAUUAGGUCUCAUGCCUCCUUUUUUUAUCUUUUGUAAUUGAAGGCAGCAUCCAAAAUUCUUUUGGAAUGGGUGACUCGUUAUUAAGCAACUGAAAAAAAACCAAAAACAGAAUUUUGCUAUGCUUUACUCUUGGCUGGUCAGUGUCCAUACAUAACUUUCCUUUCAUACUCAAAGUUAGAAAAGUGCUCAUGUGUAAAUGCAACCAUUGCAUGCCUACAUCUAAUACCUAGACCAAGAUCUUCAAAUUAUGUCCAUUCUUCUACUUUUGCUAUGUUCUUUGAUAGUCUGCAAAUUAUGUUAUCAUUUUAAUACUAAAGGAUAGAAAAGAGAUGAGAAAUUUACAUGUUACAUAUGACAGAGCAAGAAAAUAAAAAUGCUGUCCUAUUUAAGCACUGGAAGGUCAUGAGACCUUCCCUUUUAUUUAUUUUAUUAACUAGUUUUCUUCCUUAACCUAGUGACCUGACACAUCUAAGCUCUUGUUGGUUCAUUUUUGCCAAUGUAUAUGGUAGUAUAAGGACAUUCCCCAGUGUCCUCAGUUUUUCCUCUAUAUUCCUCCUUGUUCUCAUUGAGUAGCAGUUACUGUAUUAUAAGGUUAAGACACCCAAUUUACAUGAAGGUCUUUUUUUUUUUUCUUGAUUAUCCAUUGGAUAAAGACUAUAAAAUUACCAUGUGGCAGUUUGAAUUCUUUUGAACUCCUUUCUCCAAUACUAAAAUCUUUAAAGCUUCACAGUCCAGAGUCAGAGAAAAAGAAAAAGGUUUAUGAGUGGGUCAUAUGUAACAGAGGCAUUAGCCAAAUGUCAACCUCUUGGUUCUUGGAUCUAUGGUUUAUAACCCGUGGGAAAAAGAGCAUGAAGUAUAAGUAGCUGGAUAAAAACUUAUGCUGCAGCAAGAAUAGACCCCUAACUUUAAAUCUUUCAACUAGCUUUAGAACUAAGUUUUUAAUACAUUAUUCUUGUGUUUAAAAACAGCAGCUGAGAAUAAGAGAUGUCAAAAAAAAAACAAAAACACAUCUUACUUCUUGUAGUAAGUUCAUUGACCAAGCAAUGUUAGGGAAAUCCAUGAUUAUGUAUAAAUUAUUAAGUAAAUCCAUAAAUAGUGGUGCUGCCAGAGAUGAAGUAAAUCUAAGACUAGUAAGGACAAAGGUCGUAUAGUGCUACUCCUUCAAAUGCUAUUAAUUGACUAUCCAGCAGCUGACUGAUUUGCCCAAGGAUCAGGUUAUUAAGCCUUAAUUAUGAUGUCUUUUUUAGACUCUUUAUUAUGUACAUAUACCUAGACUGAACUUUACACUUACCAGGUACUUUGCAAUUAUUUAUAACUCUUAUUGAACAUCUAAUCUAUACCUAGAAUUGUAAAUUCUUUUAGGGAAAAUUUUUUCGGAAGAAAUGGCUUUAUGUCUUGUGAAUCUAAUUAAAAUGUAAGUAUAUAACAAUAAAGCUUACUGUAAACACCUAAGUAGAUAUUUUCCACACUAGUACAAAUAUCUGUUUAUACAAUACUGAAAAUUUUUUAAAACUCUAAAAAGCUAAAUGCAAUAUUUAAGCUGGGCAUGGUGGUAUAUGCCUAUGGCUCUGGAGGAUCACAAGUUCAAGUCAAGCCUGGACAACUUAUACCCUGUCUCAAAAAAAUUUUUUUUAAAGAAUAUGUAAUAAAUGUGAUGUUUAAAACAUAUUUUUAUGUCCUUUUGAUCUAAUGCUACUGGACUGAGCAGAUAACUGGUGUGACUAAGGGACAAUCAGAAUAUAAUUUAUUCAUACUUUCAUAAAUUAAUGUCAGAACAAGCUUCCAUAGUAUUUUGAAUUAUUUACUCCAUAGUAUUGCGCAAAAUGAGUCGUUUCUCUGUACAGAAGUGUCUAACAAUAUGAAAAGUUUCACCAAAAAUCAA